CCAGUGACGGCCGGAAGGCAGCAUGUUGGCGGGCUGGCUAUCAAUUUUGCAGGUUGGGCACCAUUCGCUCUUAACUGUCUCAAUUCUCUGAAGGUCCAGUGACCUUGGUUGCCCCUCUGACCUUGCCGAUCCUCAUGAUAAUCGUAGCCUCCUGGGUUUGGCCAUUGAGCAUCAUAACAUCUGCCUUCAAUUACAUCAGAAUCCCACCAUCUCCCAAGAGAUUAACUAGCCCAGUUAUGUGAAUGGCUUCCUUACCACCAUACCUGGUCUGCCGAGGGAGUGCCCUUAUCACCAGCACAGUUCUGAUGGCCUUGGUACACUGAGCUGGCUCCCUGAAGAGCUGCCCUUUUGUAUACAUAACCUUGAAAUACCUGACCCUGGAGGUAUGAAAGGCUUAUGUUCUCAAAUUAUCUCAACUCCAGUAAUCUUCCAAUCCAAUCAGAUUUCUUCCUCUGGAAACUGAGCAUGAUCCUCAUCCUGUUUAUUUUAUGGACAUAUUGAAACUUUCAUCAGGUUGUUGACCUCUGUUUUAGCUUCUGGUGGUAUAUGCCUAGGGAGGGACUGGAAAUUAAUUUCGGUCAAUGAUUGAGGUCCUGGAUCAGCUUGUACCUCACUGUGUAAAUGAGAGUGAAUGUUGGGCCACCAGCUGAAGACAUGCAGUUCUUGAAGUCACACUGGAAGUGGUAAUUUGAGGGAAAGUGCCAAAGAGUACUGGCUCCAAAGAUGAAGAAAAGAGGGAGGUAAAGCCCAGUUCCUGAGAUUCAGUGGACAUGAUUUAAGACAGACACAUCUCUGCCUUGUUUCUAAAUUCUUUUAUGUAUAUGUCCCAUCUUUUUUUGUGGUUUGCCUUAUCUUUUUCAUGUUAACUGUAUUCGUCAUUUAGAGGCUAAGUACUGUCUUCUUAUCCCAUGAAUCAGAAUCAAAAGAUUAUUAUCUUCACUUUCAUUAGGGAUCAGUCAUAUUGAUACAAAAAAGUCAUUUAAACUAUGUGAAUAUUAGUGUUAGGAUCUUCUGCCCUCCAUUGGAUACAUACAAGAUAAAAAGUAAGAACCUAUGGAAAGGAGAAAACAUUGUUAACACUCAGUUACAACUUUUGAGUCAAGAGUUAACUGCUUGUCUACAAAUUUGUGUGUUUCUAGCCAGUCAAUUCCUUCUAAAUCUUGCAGUAAUCAUAUAAUCAAUGUGGCUGCUUAAACACUUAAGGCAGAUAGUCAGUAAAAUUAUCUGAAGAGAUUUGAAAUUAACUCUGUUACUUUUUAUUGUUUGGGAAAAAGACUAUGUUUGUUGUACAUUUGACAGGUUUUAUUGGUUGAUUUAUUUGAGGGAGUCAAAAUUUAAGCAAAUAAACAUUGUUAAAGGGAGAAUAUUGCUUAUAUUGAAUAUUAAGAAUUUUAAGUAGAUUCCUUUUUUUGGUCAGUUUUUGCCAGCUUUUCUGAUGUAUAAUUGACAUAAAAUUGUAUGUAUGUACAUGCUGAUGUGAUGUGCAUUUACAUUAUGAAAUAACUAUUACCACAAAUAAAUUAACUCAUACAUCAACCAUUUCACAGUUACCUUUUUUUGGUUGUUGUUGUGGUGAAAACACUUGUUUACUCUCUUAGCAAAUUUCAUGUAUACAUGAAAUAUUAUUAAAUAUAGGUAACACACUGUAUAUUAGGUUCCCAGAAUUUAUUCAUCUUAUAAUAAAAAGUUUAUAGCCUUUGACCAACACAUCCUUGUAACCACUACUCUCUCCUUUUGUUUUGGGUUCAGCUUUUCAGAUUUUACAUACAGUUGAGAUCUUAGAGAUCUAUCUUCUUUCUCUUGCUUGUUUUACUUAGUGUAAUACCCAAUCCAUGUUGUUGCAAAUAGCAGAAUUUCCUUUUUUCUUGUGGCUGAAUAUUAAUAUUAUAUUAUGUACAUUUACCAUAUAUUCUUUACCCAUUCAUCUGUUAAUAAACACUUUGGUUGUUUCCAUGUGUUGGUUAUGGUAAAUAAUACUUCAGUGGACAGAGGAGUAUAAAUAUCUCUUUGAGAUAGUGAUUUCAUUUCCUUUGAACAUAUACCCACAAGUAGGAUUGCUGGAUCAUAGGAUAAUUUUAUUUUUAUUUUUUUUAAUUUAAUUUUAUUUUUUUGCAGAAUCUCCAUACUUUUUUUCAUAUGGCUGUAUCAAUUUAUAUUCUCACCAACAGUGUACAGGAUUCCCUCUUCUCCAUGUCUGCACCAAAAUUGUUCAGUCCAGUUCAGUCACAUUCAGUUAGUUCAGUCGCUCAGUUAUGUCCUACUCUU